rnacentral:rRNA from 1 species
AUACGGAGGGUGCAAGCGUUAUCCGGAAUCAUUGGGUUUAAAGGGUCCGUAGGCGGGCUAAUAAGUCAGGGGUGAAAUCCCACAGCUUAACUGUGGAACCGCCCUUGAUACUGUUGGUCUUGAGUUACAGUGAAGUGGUUAGAAUGUGUAGUGUAGCGGUGAAAUGCAUAGAGAUUACACAGAAUACCGAUUGCGAAGGCAGAUCACUAACUGUAUACUGACGCUCAUGGACGAAAGCGUGGGGAGCGAACAGGAUUAGAAACCCUAGUAGUCC